rnacentral:rRNA from 1 species
UACGAAGGGGGCUAGCGUUGCUCGGAAUUACUGGGCGUAAAGGGCGCGUAGGCGGCUCUGUUAGUCAGGCGUGAAAGCCCUGGGCUCAACCUGGGGACUGCGCUUGAUACGGCGGGGCUUGAGGGCAGGAGAGGCUCGCGGGAAUUCCCAGUGUAGAGGUGAAAAUUCGUGAGAUAUUGGGAAGAACACCGGUGGCGAAGGCGGCGA